AUUGAACGCUGGCGGCAUGCCUUACACAUGCAAGUCGAACGGUAACAGGUCUUCGGAUGCUGACGAGUGGCGAACGGGUGAGUAAUACAUCGGAACGUGCCUAGUAGUGGGGGAUAACUACUCGAAAGAGUGGCUAAUACCGCAUGAGAUCUACGGAUGAAAGCAGGGGAUCGCAAGACCUUGUGCUACUAGAGCGGCCGAUGGCAGAUUAGGUAGUUGGUGGGAUAAAAGCUUACCAAGCCAACGAUCUGUAGCUGGUCUGAGAGGACGAUCAGCCACACUGGGACUGGGACACGGCCCAGACUCCUACGGGAGGCAGCAGUGGGGAAUUUUGGACAAUGGGCGAAAGCCUGAUCCAGCAAUGCCGCGUGCAGGAUGAAGGCCUUCGGGUUGUAAACUGCCUUUGUACGGAACGAAAAGCCCCGGGUUAAUACCCUGGGGUCAUGACGGUACCGUAAGAAUAAGCACCGGCUAACUACGUGCCAGCAGCCGCGGUAA
rnacentral:rRNA from 1 species